ensembl:lncRNA LINC00470 long intergenic non-protein coding RNA 470
GUUGUUAUUUUGUCUCUAAAUGUGGAGGCAGUUUGCUAUACAGUGAUUUCUAACUGACACAAUGUAUUCACAAUAUAGUGUCUUUCAAUCCAUGAACGUUUACCAUCAGAGGACACAGCAGCAAGGUGCCAUCCUAGAAGCAGAGAGCAGACCCUUACCAGACAACCAACCAGCUGGUGCCAUGAUCUUGGACUUCUCGGCCUCCAGAACUGUGAGAAAUAAAUUUCUAUAUUCUAUAAAUUACCCAUUCUGUAGUGUCUUGUAAUAGUAGCACAAAUAGACUAAGACUGUAAGAAAAUGGAUUUGGGUCAAACAAGCAUUUGAGUGGCGCAUUAAAGAAUUCUCAAAUAAACCCGAUAUUUUUUGCCCAUAAAUAGUAGUACUUUACAUCUUAAGAUGCAUUUUAAAAAACGAAAAUUUAGAUAAAACAACAAAUAGCGUCAGUUUUCUACAUGGCUAAUAUCUGGCAGAAAUCUAGGAAUGGCUAACAUUUGAAAUGAUUAUUUCUUAAGAUGCGAUCUGUGUUCUCUAACUCCAAUUCUUGGUAUGAGAGAGAGAGGAGCCAUCCAUUGUUCUUUCCACAUUUUGAUUUCCAACUGAGAUCAAA